CUACGGGGGGCUGCAGUGGGGAAUAUUGGACAAUGGGCGCAAACCUGAUCCAGCAAUACCGCGUGUGUGAAGAAGGCCUGCGGGUUGUAAAGCACUUUCAAUUGUGAAGAAAAGCCUGGGGUUAAUACCCUCGGGUCUUGACGUUAACUUUAGAAGAAGCACCGGCUAACUCCGUGCCAGCAGCCGCGGUAAUACGGAGGGUGCGAGCGUUAAUCGGAAUUACUGGGCGUAAAGCGUGCGUAGGCGGCUAGGUCAGUCAGAUGUGAAAGCCCCGGGCUUAACCUGGGAACUGCAUUUGAUACUGCCUGGCUAGAGUAUGGUAGAGGGAAGUGGAAUUCCGGGUGUAGCGGUGAAAUGCGUAGAUAUCCGGAGGAACACCAGUGGCGAAGGCGACUUCCUGGACCAAUACUGACGCUGAGGUACGAAAGCGUGGGUAGCAAACAGGAUUAGAUACCCCGGUAGUC
rnacentral:rRNA from 1 species